GGGAGCUGCGGUGGCCACACAGGUCUGCAGAAAGAGAGAGAGACAGAGAGAGAGUAGUGGACAAGAAAAAAGACAGCAAGGGAAGACAAGUUGGGUCAACAUGGAACUUCUUUGAAAAGGCUGCCAAUUGUCAAACCGCUUGUUUUUCUUGACCCUUCUGACUUCUUUUUAGCAUUAUUGCUGCAUUCUCAGACCUCUGCAAGAAACUUUGGGAGCAACAUUAGUAAUGGCCGAAACUACAAAAAUAAGACCAACAUGAAGCCAGACAGCCAGAAAGCCAGAGCUGAAAAAGCAGACUUAUUGGAGAUGUGAGGUAAUCAGAUGAUUACACUGGCAGAGAGACAGAGGAAGAAAGAGUUUCCAGAGUUUCAUUUGCAUCCACCUGAGUGUGUGUCUCUGUCAACAGUACACACACAUUAACUCCAGCUAGGUUGCCAUAAGUUAUAAAAUCAGUUUUUAUAACUGGAACAUGGGGACAAUUUACACAACAAGUUCAG